CAGUAGCUGCUGAGGAAGGUGUAUUCUUAGGUUUCACACAGCUUUUGCUUUAUUGUUUGUUUUAGAACCACCAUUAAACGCCCCAAAUAAUGACCAGUCUGCAUCCAUCCAUUAAUUGAAUGGAUCAUCCCAUUGAUUUUCACCUGCUUCAUCCUAAUUGGCUUCAUCGUCGUGAAACUUAUGAAGAAAUCAGGGACCACAGCAGGAGAAGGUGGAAAUGUUAGACCAACCCUUGGUGGAAAAAACUGACCCUUGAUGACAGUCUGGCUGCUGAUCUAAUAUAUUAUCUUCUACUCAGAGGCUUGUCGCUUUAAUCAGCUGGAACGUCUCCCAGCUCAGCUGAGCUCCUUACAAGGAGCUGUGGGGUGUGGUCUGAGAUCUGGAGAGACUUGGAACAGGCCAACCAUGUCAUGAUCUGACCCAGGUUGCCUCAGCUUGGAGACACCAACAGGAAGCAACACACAACUGGUGUGAGUCACUUGUGCCCCUAAUAGCUGAGGGCCUUGGCUUCUAGCCAUUGCUCUCUCCCCUAAGACUAAGAGGAGCUGCGCACCCCAAGCCAACGUCAGAGGGCGCCAUCGGCCAGGCUGCGGCUUGACCUGUCACAGCUGCUCCACUGGGCCCAUCCGGAGCUUCCAGGGUGUCCAGAGAGAUUUCCCCCUGAAUUAUCCCCAACUUCACUCUCUCUGCUGAUGCUCAUCCACACCCACCCGCAGCAGUGCUUCACUUCCUACCUGCGUUACGUGUCAUACUGUCUUCCAGAGCUGCGAAGUAAAUAACCAUUUUACUGAAAUAAAAAUCGAGCCACCGGUGCUUUGUGACCGCCUGGAGG